ensembl:lncRNA
AUGGAGGGGCACCUGAAGGAGGGAAAGCUAUCAGAGGAGAAAAUACGAUCAUUAGCAGAAAAGCUGGAAAAGGACAUGGUGGAGUACCAAAGGAGGCUUCAGGAAACUGUUGAUGAGAAAAUCAGGGCGGACAGAGAGAAACAGGAGGCACAGGAGCAGAUUAGCAAACUUCACUCAGAGUUGGUACGGGCACAGUCUAGUAACGCAAAUCUUCACCAAGAGAGUCGGCUGGUCUUGAGAAAUGUUCAUCUUUGGAUCACUGAGCAAAGGACUUCCUGUGAGAUCCUGCUGACCCAAAUGAAGGCCCAAAACCAGAAGCUGCUUAUUGAUGCUGCAGAAAUAACACACCUCCGGGAGGCUAAUGACACGUUGAAGGCGGAGAUGGGGAAACUAAAACAAGCGCUGGAUGAGAAGGAGCGAGACCCGGAAUGCUUCCAGGCUCAGAUCCGAGACCGGAGCAUGGGAGAAGACGGGAGAAAAAUGUCCUCUCACCGCAUUGGAAAGAAAAGUUGUGUUGCUCGAAACCUCAACAAAAUCGAGGACGUUCAUUCCAGACUGCAAAGCAACCAAGAGGCCAUCGGCAUGCUAAAUCAACAAGUAAGAUUGAACGUACACACACACACACACACACACACACACACACACACACCAGGUCCUGACGGUCCUUUUACCCGACAGAUACAAACACAAACCCACACACCAGCCCACCUGCUGUUGAGCUCACACAGAAGAGGAAGCUUUCAAGCGUCCAACUUCAAACACGCGAGUGCACUUACACAGAGACACACGCAUACAUCCAUUUCCUCUUCCUACGAUAAAAGUGAAGUCUGCAGCAGGAAGGGGGGACGCGCGAGCGGCGUGGGGAAUGGGGGAACAAAUCGUAUCGGGAAAAAGCAGUGACGUUUCUUUUCUCUGGUAAAUGAUUUCCCUUUCAUGAAACUCGGAGAAAGAUGUAUAUCAAUACAGCCGCGCUGAUCUCUCCGUGACAGCGUAGGGAAAUGGCCCGCUGUGAUAAAACAAUGUGGGGGAAAAAAACACAGAGGAAUAUUCUCAAGAAAUGCUGACAUUUUUUUUUUUUUUACUGCGUUGAACUUCACAGGAGUCAACAAAUCACCAAAGGAGGGAGGAAUCAAAAGUACUCCUCAGCCCCCUCAGUUCUCCAAAACUCCAGGGCCCGGGGAAAUGGCUCACCCGACUUCUGUUAGUUUGUUAGAGUGGCCCGCUGAUUGACGGGCUGCGAGGAAAGCUGGCGCUUGUUGAAGUUUUUAAUGUUGACAUCAGUUGCAUGGGUUGAGACAGAGGAGCGUGCAGCACAGGAAGCAACAGACAGAGGGGAAGAGGAGGGUGCUGUUUAGCAGGUCAGGUGUGUAAUAGCACCUCUUAAUCUCAAGUCUGAAUCGUUACAUCGAUCCAACACGGACGAUCCACACACACACACACACACACACACACACACACACACACACACACACACACACACACACACACAGUCUGGAGACGAUGGGAUGAAAAAAUUUCACUGUCCACUGGACACUCAAUCCCUAGCCACACAUUCGGAAAUCAGCAACGAAGUUGAAUAAAUUUGUACGCGAGGCUCCGAGUGAUUAAUUGGCUCUCUGUCUUUUUGCAUCAGUCCCCUUUACUUCUUAAAAACAGGUUCCCUUUCAUCCACAGAAGCUGCAGAAACAAACACCACACACACACACACACACACACACACACACACACACACACACAUCAUUUCCUUUUUGCCGUCAAGUUAAUUUCAUGCAAACCUUUGAAAUGUCACACAAAUUUAACUGAGAUGAUGGCGAACAACAUCAGAAGAGGAAAACGUGAUGCUACCAGGAUUUGAUUAGGAUUAAACUCGUGUUCUUUAUCAAAUGUCCAGGUUAUUUCAUGCUGAGAUGAAAGACAAUGGAUUAGGUGAUGCUUCUUCACACCUUUGGCUUCAAAAUGCAAGGGUGGCUGAUGAUUCAAAUGCUUUUUGUUCCAACACAUUCUUAUUUUUGCCAAAUGAAGACUCGUGCAUUGUUUAGUUCUAUUCUAAAUGUUAAAAAACUGCAUGCAUUUCAUUAUUUUAGGAUUUAGGGUGUAUAAAUGUAUUUAAUUUAUUCUUUAUUUAACUAGGAAGGUCCCAUUGAGAUUAAACACCUCAUUUUCAAGGGAGUCCUACAUACACACACACACACACACAUAUAUAUACACAGUAAACUCCAGUUAAUGUUCAGAUUAUAA